AUACGUAGGGGGCGAGCGUUGUCCGGAAUGAUUGGGCGUAAAGGGCGCGUAGGCGGCGCGGUAAGUCUGGAGUGAAAGUCCUGCUCUCAAGGUGGGAAUUGCUUUGGAUACUGCCGCGCUUGAGUGCAGGAGAGGUUAUCGGAAUUCCCGGUGUAGCGGUGAAAUGCGUAGAGAUCGGGAGGAACACCAGUGGCGAAGGCGGGUAACUGGACUGCAACUGACGCUGAGGCGCGAAAGUGUGGGGAGCAAACAGGAUUAGAUACCCUGGUAGUCCACACUGUAAACGAUGAAUGCUAGGUGUAAGAGGUAUCGACCCCUUUUGUGCCGGAGUCAACACAAUAAGCAUUCCGCCUGGGGAGUACGGCCGCAAGGUUGAAACUCAAAGGAAUUGACGGGG
rnacentral:rRNA from 1 species